CAAUUCAUUUGGAUAUAUAUAUAUAUAUAUAUAUAUAUAUAUAUAUAUAUAUAUUUAUUAUUAAUCUUAUCUUAUCAAGCAGACAUUACGAAAAUCGUUUAAUUAUAGGAAGAACAUCCUGCUCGUGGUCUAUCAUUUCCACAUGAUCCAACGAUGUAAGAUCGAGCUCGAUAAUCAUAUAUUUCACUUGCUUUGAAAUACAAGUGUAGCUCGUUUGCGCAUACGUCAUAAGUCAAUGUUUAAUCAUUAUCAUUAUCGUGCUAGCAAGGAAUACAACAAUAACAACAAUCACAAUCAUUACAACAACAACAACAACAACAACAACUCUACAACGACAACAAGAUUAUUGGGUUAGGUGACAAGUAUGCUUGAAAAGUAUUGCUAAAAGAAGAAGAAAAAAAAAAAAAAAAAAAAAAAAAAGAAAAAGAAAAAAGAAAAAUUAGAAUAAUAACGUAAAAAAGGGUAUCGGCGGAGGUCACCGGAAGUUGCUGGACGGGGCGGGGGGCAAGCUGGCUACGGUCGCCACCAGCCCAGCGGACUCCGAGGAGUCCUCCUUAGGGGUACCGGAAGUCGCUCCACCAAGCUCGCAGCACCGAAACAGCAUAACCCCACCAAAUCCUUCAGGAGGUUCUGGUCUAAGUGAAACUGGAUCCUUGGAUCGUGCAAAGGCAGCAUUGGAACGAAGAAAAAAGGCAGAAGAUAGUACAGGAAAUCCUAGCUUAUGCAGGAUCGAAGUCACCAGACCUAAUCCAGAUUCAUUGAUCGAUGAAUUGAUUAAGGCAACGAAUUUGGAGCAAACGGAUCUCGAAAGUUCUGAGACAACCGGUUUACAGUUGUUCAUCGCAAAGGAUGGAACAACAGCGUUGGGUAGUCACGAGGUGAAGAGUCAGAUGCCUGCCGGUGUGUUCAAGCAGGUGGUGAUGGAAGAAAACAAUAGGUAACACCAAGCCAUCACAUCAAGGCGGCAAUACGCUAGGCAGGCCAGCACAACGUUCUCAUUGGCCUUGGUGCCUGAACUCAUCUACGAGGCUUACGAGCCACGGUAGUCAUGAUGGAGAACGACUUGUUUGUUGGGUCGAAUAUAAGAAGAAGAAAAGAAAAAAAAGAAAAAAGAAAAAAGAUGAUGAAGAGAAAGAAGAAGAAGAAGAAGAAGAAGAAGAAGAAGAGGAUCGUCGUUGUAAUGGUGUGUCUGAUAAAAAAUGAUCAGACUAUAAAAAACGACAACUUCCAUCUAGCGAGAGAGAGAGAGAGAGAGAGAGAGAGAGAGAGAGAGAGAGAGAGAGAGAGAGAGAGAGAGAGAGAGAAAGAAAGAGAGAGAGAAGGUUAGGGGAGGAAGGAUAAGGAAGAUAUUUCUCUUUAAUUUUUGUUGUCUACUGUCAUCUAUGAAUGAAAAAAAAAAAGAACAAAAAUGAGUUCUUGCGUUUUAACUACAGUAUUUCUUAUAAUAUGUGUAUGUACAUAUGUUUAUGUAUAUGUAUGUGUAUAUAUAUAUAUAUAUAUAUAUAUAUACAUAUAUAUAUAUAUGUGUGUACAUGUAUACAUACACACAUAUCUUUUCGUACACAUGAUUUUGUACGUAACAAUUAUUUCGUUUACAAUUAUUUAUAAUGCUGUAAAGAAAAAAAAGAAAAGAAAAAAGAAACAUGAAGAUGUAAGGUUUAUUAUUAUUAUUAUUAUUAUUAUUAUUAUUAUUAUUAUUAUUAUUAUUAUUUUUAUUUUUAUUUUUAUUUUUAUUAAUAUUAAUAUUAUUAUUAUUGUUAUUAUUAAGACGAUGACACUUUCUUGCAAGAUGGAAGAAGCUUAUGAGCAUUACGAAAAGAGAUAAAUCGAAGGAAAGAAAGAAAAAGAGAGAGACAGAGAGAGAGAGAGAGAGAGAGAGAGAGAGAGAGAGAGAGAGAGACGUAUAUUAUAGGAAAAAAAGAAAAAAAAAAAAGAAAAA